rnacentral:rRNA from 1 species
AGGACGAACGCUGGCGGCGUGCUUAACACAUGCAAGUCGAGCGGAAAGGCCCUUCGGGGUACUCGAGCGGCGAACGGGUGAGUAACACGUGAGUAAUCUGCCCCUAGCUCUGGGAUAGCUCCGGGAAAACCGGGAUUAAUACCAGAUACGACCACUUUAGACAUCUGUUGUGGUGGAAAGAAUUUUGGCUAGGGAUGAGCUCGCGGCCUAUCAGCUUGUUGGUGAGGUAACGGCUCACCAAGGCGACGACGGGUAGCCGGCCUGAGAGGGCGACCGGCCACACUGGGACUGAGACACGGCCCAGACUCCUACGGGAGGCAGCAGUGGGGAAUAUUGCGCAAUGGGCGAAAGCCUGACGCAGCGACGCGCGUGGGGAUGAAGGCCUUCGGUUGUAAACCCUUCAGCAGGACGAAGCGAAGUGACGGUACCUGCAGAGAAGCGCCGGCUAACUACGCGCCAGCAGCCGC